ACUCAAAUGAAUUGACGGGGACCCGCACAAGCAGCGGAGCAUGUGGUUUAAUUCGAAGCAACGCGAAGAACCUUACCAGGUCUUGACAUCCUCUGACAAUCUGAGAGAUCAGACUUUCCCUUCGGGGACAGAGAGACAGGUGGUGCAUGGUUGUCGUCAGCUCGUGUCGUGAGAUGUUGGGUUAAGUCCCGCAACGAGCGCAACCCCUGUGGUUAGUUGCCAUCAUUCAGUUGGGCACUCUAAGCAGACUGCCGUGGAUAACACGGAGGAAGGUGGGGACGACGUCAAAUCAUCAUGCCCCUUAUGACCUGGGCUACACACGUGCUACAAUGGUCUGAACAGAGGGCUGCGAAACCGCGAGGUGAAGCUAAUCCCUUAAAACAGAUCUCAGUUCGGAUUGCAGGCUGCAACUCGCCUGCAUGAAGUUGGAGUUGCUAGUAAUCGCAGAUCAGAAUGCUGCGGUGAAUGCGUUCCCGGGUCUUGUACACACCGCCCGU
rnacentral:rRNA from 1 species